GACGACGCGGGUGGGGAGAGACUGUGCACCUACACGUGUCACUUCACAAAGGCCUCCAGGGGCUUAUGAUCAGGCAAAGGAGACACCAGGAAAGAGGAGCAGAGUGGCUAGGGCAGUGCACUGCAGAUGCAUGGACGAAAGCUCGCAGCGACACAGGUAUGGGGUGUCUAAUCAGGGAUGAGUGUGAGCAGCAGAAUGAGGAGCAUGCUUUCCCAGAGGAAGAGAGGAAGCCACUGGAGAGAUGAAGGAUGCCAUGGACAGGAGGUGGUGUCUCUGGAGCCGCCGAGCAGCAGCCUCAUUGCUCAGAAGAUGAAGAUGCUGACGAAGACCCAGACAGGAAAAAAGGAAGAAAAAGCAUCCUGAUUGUUCCAUUAGCAAAGCCACAGUCCCGGAGAGCAAGGGGAGGGGCACAGCAGGCAGCCGCACCCAUGGGAUGCAUCUGCAGCUUGUGAGCAAUGCAUGAAAGAUGAAUCACACAGCAGCAAUGCCUUCAGCUUCCGUGUGCUAUGGCUCACUCAGCACCAGCUCUGCAGGCUGCCUAAGCCAGAAGUCAGUCUCUGCCUUUAGACUUGCUCACUUCUUUUAGGAACGGAGAUAUCCUCUGAUCCCUUGUCCUACAACCUCGAUUAAUAUCUUUCCAACAGCCAUCUGCCAAACUCAAGAAGACCCUGGAACAACCUAAUUGGAAAAGUUUCCAUCUUAUCCCUUGGAAAACUAUAGAAAAGUAGUGUCACACAAAUGUUUAAUUUCUGAUUUCUACAAUUUCAGAUACCAGAGUUUAUCUGUUACCAUGACAACUAACAGCUUUAUAAAUGUUUUCUAGCCUCUGCUAUUUUCUGGAACUUAUCUACAUUUCAGUAUUUGCUUAAUAAUUUUGAGCUGACACUAGCAACAUAAUUGUGUCUGGAUUGUGUAUGUGUAUGUCUUGUGUGUGUUGGCAGGGGGUGGGUAUAACCUAUGUCAGUGUUUUUCAAUGUGAGCAAAUUUUAAUAAACUUUUAUAUUUAAUGUGAACAUUAA